rnacentral:rRNA from 1 species
AGAGUUUGAUCAUGGCUCAGCCUGAACGCUGGCGGCGUGGCUAAGACAUGCAAGUCGCACGGUGUAGCAAUACACAGUGGCGAACGGGUGAGUAAUGAAUCGCUAAUGUACCCCGGACUCUGGGAUAGCUACCCGAAAGGGUAGGUAAUACCAGAUGAUAUAUCCGUCCCGCAUGGGAUGGAUCUCAAAGGUCCGCCGGUCUGGGAGCAGGCGAUUUCGUAUCAGCUUGUUGGUGAGGUAACGGCUCACCAAGGCGACGACGCGUAGCCGGACUGAGAGGUUGGCCGGCCACAUUGGGACUGAGACACUGCCCAGACUCCUACGGGGGGCUGCAGUAACGAAUCUUCCGCAAUGCACGAAAGUGUGACGGAGCGACGCCGCGUGUAGGACGAAGCCCUUCGGGGUGUAAACUACUGUCAGGGGAAAGAAAGUUCUGAUCUACCCCAGAGGAAGGGACGGCUAACUCUGUGCCAGCAGCCGCGGUAAGACAGAGGUCCCGAGCGUUAGGCGGAAUCACUGGGCUUAAAGCGUGUGUAGGCGGAUGCCUAAGUACCUUGUGAAAUCCCACGGCUCACCCGUGGAACUGCUCGGUAUACUGGGUGUCUUGAGCCACUUAGGGGCUACCGGAACAAAUGGUGGAGCGGUGAAAUGCGUAGAUAUCAUUUGGAACGCCAAUGGUGAAAACAGGUAGCUGGGAGUG